ensembl:miRNA
GGCUGUGGCUGGAUUCAAGUAAUCCAGGAUAGGCUGUUUCCACCUGUGAGGCCUAUUCUUGAUUACUUGUUUCUGGAGGCAGCU